rnacentral:ncRNA from 2 species
UUAAAUGAUAGAGGUGCAGUGAAUUAAGAGUAAUUACCCCGAGCAGGCCAGGCUAUGACGGGUAAUGAAAGGAAUCAUUGCCGAAGCAUAGGGUCAAGGAUAAAGGACCUUUUGCUGGUCUUCCAUUGAAAAAAUGUAAGACUGUCACCGGAAUCUCGGUGGAGUGCUAUCUCGUGA